GGGCGCUUAGCUCAGUUGGUUAGAGCGCUUCCUUUACACGGAAGAAGUCAGGGGUUCGAGUCCCUUAGCGCCCACCA
rnacentral:tRNA from 1 species